GUGGGGGUGUGGGUCUUGGGGGGGGGGGGUGGAGAUGACAACUUCGCAGAGGCUGCUGUGCAAUGCAUGGGUAUUUAUUGGGGGGAGAAGUGGGGGAAGAGUUGAUUUGAUUUGAUUUUUUCUUUCCCUCCCACCUCUUGAUUAAAGGGUGGCGUGUCGCGCCCCGCGUUUCAGAGCUCGGAGGUUUGUUGCUGCGCAGUUCAGAAAGUGGGAAAUGGUGACGCAGUGAUCAUUGUCGUCCAGUUUUAAAAAGCAUCGGGUGGAGGGGGGGGGGGGGGGGGGAGGGGGCGGGGGGUGAGGGACAGGUACGUGGUGCCUUUCGGAGGCUUGCAGAGCAGCUGAGAGGGGUUAAGGAUGAGUUGAGAAGGGAAGCUAGCGUGGAGGGAUUAAAUGUCAUCAUUUUGGCGUUGGGAAGUUGUUUACCUUGCUCUCUCCGUGUCUCCAUGUUGGCAGCCUUCCAGCUCACAUGUGAUAGUCUUCCCUGUACUGCUGCAUCAUUAACUAAGUGGCUGAGCUUGCACACCAUUGGCUGGGGUGGGCUCUGAGUCUAAACACUCGAUCCUAUUGGAGGAAGGGGUGAUGGCAGGUGAAAACCUCUCCAGGAUUGGCCAAGGACAGGGUGUCAAAUCUAAAUGUCGAUUUCACUUGCUUCAAAGUGCUGGGAACUGCUUUGUGACUACAAUCUCAGCUGGGUUUUCUUUCUGCUUUUUCAAAGCCAGGCAUUUGAAAAGAUCUCUCUGCCUUUGGCACUACGUCACUUUGCCCAAAGCAAAAGAGAAACGCAGCAAAUUCCCUGGCGUGGCCUGCGCAGGUCGUGGUGGGUGCAAAUAAAUCACCCGGAGUGUGAAUGGCGUCCGUGACAGAGUGCUCCGCAGGGAAGAGGUUGGGUCCGCCCAGGUGUUUGGCAGAUGCUGCUCAGCUCCCCGGCUCGAGAAGUCCCCGGAUGGUGCGGUGCCUCGCGCUCUCACGCAGCAAGGAGCUUUCUGCCCUGAGCCUCCAGUCACGUAGAGGCUCCAGCAAGUUCAAGGAUAAGGGGGCGGACGCCGUUCAGGUGUCACCGACCCUCCUGAGUCACUCAGCCCUCGCCCGUGGAGCUGACUCCCGCAGAGCUUCCGCACUUCCUGCGGUGCUAGAUCCGCAGAGGAGGAGGAACAGCAACCGCAACGGCAGUCCCUGCAGCGAGGCCGAUGGACAUACACGCACGUCUGCCGGCACUGCUGCAUAACUGCGCUUACACGCCGGUAAGCCAGCAGCAGAGAGAUCCAUGCAGAGCCAGCAGCCGGACCGAGAGCCGACGCUCAGUUGCUCGGGAGUGCGGGUUACCUGCCUGCCCAGGCAAGCCAUAGGCUUUGAAGCAAUCGCCACAGCUACCGAUGCAUCUCUCGGGAAGGUGAAGCUAGCAGUUGCCAGCCGUGGCGGAAAGCUACUGGUGGGAAGGGAGGCUUGGCGAGGCACAGGAAUACUUAUCUGCCUCUGACUUUAAAGGACACAAAGCGGAAAAAAAGCCCCAAGAACGUUCACAAUUGUGAGAAGUAAGAAGGGCCAGAGGUAAAACAACUUCACAUUUGUGUCCAGUUCCUGGAAAGCCUUGGUGCCCAGGUCUGUGCCUUGAAUCGUCAUUAUAGAUACGUGCACAACGGGGAGUGUGAAGCACCGCGUUGUAGUGGUGCAAGUGACUGCAAAUGUUGCAGGGCAAAGUAAACCAGCCAAACCACCCGCAAAAAACAAAACGCACACGAGCGCGUGCACGCACACACACACAUGCACACACACACACACACACACAACCAGUUCAACCUUCCUGAGCAGGAAGUCUGAGGCUAAAUAGACCUGAUGAUAUUUAGAAGUGGUGAGAGAGGUCAUUUUAUUGUGCGCUGUAAAAACAUGCAAUUCCGUGUCUUAGUGUUUGCCUCUGGUAAUUAUGCUGUUCUGUUAAUAAUUCACUAGAAGCAUUAUCUAGUUCCCAUUUUAUAGCACAAGAGUUAGGGUGUUACCACGAGUUCCUGCUUCCAACAGUGGCUUUCAGCUUACAAUUUGGUACAUGUUUUUGAUUUUUUAUCAGAAAUUGGUUUCUGAAGCGGUCACUUGAAAAUCUCAGGGGAAUUGGAUUAGCCCAUUUUAAGAAGAACCUUUUUCUUCCCCCCCCCCCAAAAAAAAACAAAACAAAACAAAACUGUGACAGGGAAAGCCUAGAACAGUGACUGGCCAUCUUGACAGAGAUGAACAGUCGGAAACAGAUACUAGUUCACGCAGAGGGAACGGUUGCUAGGUGUGACGGUUAGUAGCUAUGAACUUAAUGAGACAUGAGUAGCGCUGUGGAGGAGGCGAGCUCACUGGAAGAAGUGAGUAGGAAAAAAAAGGAGUAAUGCCAAGUUUCCAAAGUUUCAUGCGACUGUUUCAAUUAACCAUUUCUCCUGCAGCAAGAAACCACAAUCCUGCAGUAAGUAGCACAGUGCCAUUUCCCUUUCUUUUCAGAGAGUUUUGCUUCUGGUACUUUUUUUUUCUUUUUUGGCCCUUUGCAUCUGCAUGAAGGAGCAGAACUGGCAUGUGAUAGAAAGGGAGCGGGCAAAAGGAUCCAGCUUGCUUAGGCCACCCUCUUGAACCAGAGCAUCUUUCUCCAUGCCUCAUCCCUUGUCUUGACCCCUGUACUGACUGCGGCUGGCAGUGACAGCCAGGUGAAGCACUGUGGUCUGGCGUUUCACAGAACCAAGUGGCCAUCCUUUUCCAAAGAGGUUUGAGGUUGGUUGGUGCCCCAAGUUUUUUGGACGCCCAAAUUUCAGAAAGCUGAGCUCAGCUUCUCCAAAACCCACCAUGUAAAGCGUCCAAAGCUGGGCACCCAAAUAUCACAAGUGACAACUGCAAAUGUGAGCUGCUGGUCCUCACAGCCUAUUACCACAAGAAGCCGCGCUGGCUUGGAUGGUGGGAGACAUUGCAUACGGUAGGUAGCAAGCUUAAAUAGCACAACAGGGCCAGAGCCUGGCUCUCGGCGGCCCAUCGGGGUUCCCAGGAUGGUCGCGAAUGCCCAGCUUGUGGACUCAGCUGCCCCAUGCUCUGUUGGCACAGGGGAGCAGGGGAGAGAGCGAACCGAGAUGCGUACGCCAGGCACAGGAGUGUGCUGGGGCUGGUACAGACUAGCCCUCAGAAGCAGGCAGCCGAAACGGGCUCCCUGGUGCGACCGCUCCUUUCCAUGCCCAGAAACAAUCAGGUGCAGGGAAGAAUUUGUCUCUUGCUCUGCAAGAAUCGAGCUUGGGACAUUCAAUUCAUUUUGCAGAGGCAGCUUCAAAUGGAAGCUGCUCUCAGUCACUAUUAACCAGGGAGCGGGGGGCUUUCAGCUAUACUCUACUUCCCUGGCACCUCCGGCUUAUUAGGAUGUUAAUGUAAAACUGUUCAUGCUGACCAGAUGAGGUCCUUCUGAGGCUAGUGGAAAGAUCAGGGUGUGAUUUAGAGUUGGUUGUGGUGGCAUUUGUUUUAUUUUCUUAAUAAAUAGUUGACUGCCAGUCCUUGCUUCAUUUGAACAUAACUUGAACAGCCUCCUGAAGAUCCCUUACAAAACCUGGCAGCAAAAUCUGCCGUUCGGGCCAAGCAUAACUGAGGUCCACAGUAUGAAACCUCAGCUCACUUCAGAACUGUAUGGCUUGGACUUGUAGGCAGCAUUUGAUACUGACCCAGUCUUUUCUUUGGCACUUUUCUGGAUUAGCGGGCAAUAAUUUUCUGCUAGGUGAGAUGCAAAUUAUUCUUACCACCUAAAGGAUUGAAAUGGCCGUAUGUCAGGCAGCUAAUUCUGCUCAUGUAUAUGAAUCAUCAGGGACAUUGCUGACACAAAUUUAUCAUCUGAAAAGCGCUAUCCACCGGUGAUAGCUACAGUGAUGUUUUCAACCUAAAGAGAUGCAUGAAAAAAUCACCAGUUCUCAAACACAGUAUUCUUGGAGUAGGCAAAUAGGUCCUUAGCCCGAACAAAAAGCAUUUCUAUACCUAACUCCCCCUGAUUUAAGGAGGAAUGAGACACCUACAUACCUUGAAGGUCUGGAUGUUAUGGCUUAUAGUUGCAAAGAAGGUGAUAAUACGUAAAGCCUAUCUCCCAGGACAUCGUGUACUUCUUGUGAGGCUGAAAAGAUUGCAAGUCAGGAGACGUGACCCAGACACAAGGCAUGAGAAAAACCCUUUUUACAUGGCCGCUUUUGUGGCUGUAACAAAUGCAUCCAAGUAACUGGUACCAGGCAUAAGGCUGGAGGAGGGUUUCCUGCUGGUUGUGAUAUUUUCCCCAAAGAAGCAGCUUCUGGUUAUUUUUUUUCUAUUUUUAAAGAAAAAAAAAAAAGACAGGCAGACCUGAGGAUGCGUAAUUUUUUAGAUUUGCAUUUCAGAUUCGCUUGCCAUUCAGACCAAGACACAGACCUAUCACUUCCUCCUUUGUUCUGGCUCCCCUGGAAAGUUCUUCUAACAUUGCGCUGUGAUUUGCCAUGACUUUGUGCUCUGCGAUAUUAAGAUGGAAAUUCAUGCUCUGGAACCUGAGGUGCAAUUGAGAAGCCAACCCCCGCAGUGGGAAAGGGUGAAGAGCAUUCACACAGGAAGUUAGUGUGGAGCAUAGCCCCACCCCACUUUUACUUGGUGAAAAACUUGCUGCGUCCAUACCCUCGCUUUAAUCCUGACUAUACACCAGCGAGAGACGACAGCUUAGCUCAGAUCAACUGGAUGUGGAAUCUGUACUAGAGCUAUAGAAGGAAAAGGAUGGAUGGCUUUGCACACUGGGCACGGCCCCAAAGAACAGUUGGCAGAACAUGCUGAGGGAUGAGGAUGAUGGAGCCUUACACAGAAGUUGCAUGCAGCAGUGUGCAAAGACACAACUCCAACCGACGCUGAAUUCAGAUUUCAGAGUUUGUGCAAGGAAGGGUCUUAACCCUUGCCCAUGUGCAUCGUGGAAAGUGCAUGUGGCUGUCUUGAUAACCUGCAUUCAACCCUACGUGGCCUAUCCAGUCAGUCUCCGGAUGAGUGAGCAGGAAUAACUGGUAUCAGCUUUUGGGAUGAAUGCAAGUGAAGACCACGGUGGAGAGUGGGGAAUGAAGAGUUUCCCUCCAGCUGCUCUUUAGACAGUCAGGGCACGUUCUGAGGACCGGUCUCUGUGUGAGCCUCUGGUGGAUGGGGAACUUCAGGAUUAACAGAGACAUGCUGAAAGGUACCGGCCCUGCUUCCAUGUGUGUGCGUGUGCAUGUGUGUGCGGUAGCUAGAUCCCAGGAUUCGUGGAGACUGCGUGGACAUGGAGGUAUUGAUCGUUGAGACUUCGCUGUGUUCUACAUAGGCACAGCUGGCAGGCACAGCACAUGCUUGCCCUCGUCCCUGACGGUGCAUGAUGGAAGUGGCCAGUAUCAAAGACUUCCAGUGGAAAACCCUGGCGCCUCUCCCCAGCCGCAGGGUCUACUGCUCCUUGGUGGAAGAGAAAGGUCAGGUUUUUGCCAUCGGGGGCUGCGAUGACAAUGGUGUCCCCAUGGACUGCUUCGAGGUGUACUCCCCAGAAGCCGACCAGUGGAACUCCCUCCCUCCCAUGCCCACGGCCCGGGCUGGGGUAGCGGUGGCCACCCUGGGCAAGCGGAUCAUGGUGAUCGGAGGGGUUGGACUGAAUCAGAAGCCCCUGAAGAUCGUGGAGAUGUACAACAUCGACGAGGGCAAGUGGAAGAAGAGGAACUCCCUGAGGGAAGCAGCGAUGGGCAUCUCGGUGACCGCGAAAG